GUUUCCCCCGCCAUGCGCAGUAAGCACCAGCGUCAUUCCAGCUCACGUGUACCACCGGAAGCUCCAGUUUCUCUCGGAUGCCAGAGCCGGGACCUGCAGGCUGACAGGCAAGAGGAGUUAUGCCUGCAAGGUCUCAGUUCCUCAAUCCUCGCCUCCCAGCUGAUCAGCUAGUCCUGUCAGCAUGUAAGGUCCACCUCCAAUAAAGUGCAUGAGAUGCAGUUACCACCCAUAAACAGCAGCGACCGAGGAUGGAAACCAUCUCAGCCAAGUGUGCCUGACAGCCGGGUUUGGGGCCCAAUGCAUCAUUUUUGCGGAAAAACAAUCACCUUGACAAGGUACUUCCAAACUGUGUGUUCCUUUGUGCAACACCAAGACGAUUCUCUGUUUCUAACACACCCGACCCAGAUUUUUUCUAUAAAAGUAAAAUCUAUGCCAGUAAAAAAUCUCUCGAGUAUAUGUAGUUCUGGGAGGUUUUGUUGUUUUGUAAAGAUGGGGACCCACUGUAUAGCAGUGGUUCUUAACCUUCCUAAUGCUGUGACCCCCCCAAACCAUAAAAUUAUUUUGGUUACUACAUCACAACGGAAUCACCCCUAUAAUUUAUGUGCAUAUGUGUGUUAGGGAUUUUUCUGAUUUUUAAACCGCCCCCCAUAUCUCUCUCUCUCUCUCUCUCUCUCUCUCUCUCUCUCUCUCUCUCUCUCUCUCUCUCUCAAUAGGGUUUCCCUGGGUAGUCUUGAUUGUCCCAGAACUCACUCUGUAGGUCAGGCUGCCCCUGAGCUCACAGAUCUUCCUGCCUCUGCCUCUGGAGUGGUGGGGUUAAAGGCCUGCAUCACCACUGCAUGGCAAUUUUCUGAUUUAAAAAAAAAAUGUUCUGGGCUGGAGAGAUGGCUCAGUGGUUAAAAACACUGACUGGGGGGUUGGGGAUUUAGAUCAGUGGUAGAGCGCUUGCCUAGCAAGCACAAGGCCCUGGGUUCGGUCCUCAGCUCCGGGGGGGGGGGGGGAGCACUGACUGCUCUUCCAGAGGUCCUGAGUUCAAAUCCCAGCAAACCCAUGGUGGUUCACAACCAUCUGUAAUGGGACCUGAUGUCCUCUUCUGGUGUUCUGAGAACAGAUACAGCGUACUCAUAUAAAUAAAUCUUAAAAAAAGAAAAAAUUCUACAGCUCCUUCAUUCAUACCCUCCCACCUAUGCCUCGCCAAUGCUAAGAUUGUAGGACUAUGGAACUGUUAGUGCUUUCAUGGAGGUCUGACCCCAAAUGGAGGAUUUGAAAAGUUUAAAAUUUUUAAAGAUCGAUUUUUUCCCCCAGUGCUAGGGAAUGAACCAAAGGACCUGCUAGCUGAGUUCUUCGCACUGAGUUUGCUCCUUUAAAAGCUAUAAAAGCACGAGUCAAACCCACACUAACGCAGUCUUGUGUCCUCCAGAUGUAUGCGUUACAAACCUCUUAAAAUGGGGAAUCAGGGCUGGAGGAAUGGCUCAACACUUAAGAACAUUUGUUGCUCUUAAAGAGGCCGUGGGGGGUUGGGGAUUUGGCUUAGUAGUAGAGCGCUUGCCUAGCAAGAGCAAGGCCCUGGGUUCGGUCCCCAGCUCCAAAAAAAAAAAAAAAAAAAAAAAAAAAAAGAGUGGGUUUGGGGAGGAGGUGGUGGCCCACAUCUUUAAUCCCAGCACUCAGGAGGCAGAGGCAGGAGGAGCUCUGAGUUCACAGACAGCCUGGUCUACAGAAUGAGGUGCAGGACCGCCAAAAAAAAAAAAGGGGGGGGGGGGCUGGAGAGAUGGCUCAGCGGUUAAGAGCGCCCUACCGCUCUUCCAGAAGUCAUGAGUUCAAUUCCCAGCAACCACAUGGUGGCUCACAACCAUCUGUAAAGAGAUCUGAUGCCCUCUUCUGGUGUAUCUGAAGACAGCUACAUUUAUUAUAUUAUUUAUAUAAUAAAUAAAUAAAUCUUUAAAAAAAAAAAAAAAAAGACUGGAGUUUGACUCCCAACACCCACCUGGCAACUCACAACCUUAUGUAAGUCCCAUUCCAGGGGAUCCGAUGCCCUCUUCUGACCUCUGAGGGCACCAGGUAUGCACAUGGGUGCACACACUAAAUACAGGCAAAGCACUCAUGUACCAUCAAAUAAUAAAACAAAUAUCUAAAAUUGUAAAAAUAAAAAUCAAGAUGCUAUCUCUCGUGAUUUGUAAGCUGCUUUUCUAUUCAAUCUCUCAUAGCUGUUUCCCUUGUUGUGAUUAAUUUAUUUUUUGGAGACAGGGAUAUAAUAUUAGGAAUAAAGAUUAGUAUUAGAAAAGGUAAGAAAGAACCUUUACCCCUGCACCCAAAACCUUGAAAUACCUGAAGUCUUUAUUGGUGAUGGGAAAUACGUCAAUGGCAAAGGGUUUUACUGUCACUUCCCGGGCAGGCCCUUCACCAUCUCUGCCGUCUGGAGCAUUGGUCCCCAUCAGAAACCGACCACCUGGCAGGUGCACCAUGGCAGGAUCCUGGGCAUGUCCUGCAGAACAGGACAAGUACUAGUAAUACAAACAGAUACAUUGGGCUGGAGAGAUGGCUCAGCGGUUAAGAGCACUGACUGUUCUUCCAGAGGUCCUGAGUUCAAAUCCCAGCAACCACAUGGGGGCUCACAACCCUCUGUAAUGGGAUCUGACGCCCUCUUCUGGUAUGUCUGUGGAUGGCUAUGGUGUACUCAUAAAAAUAAAUCUUUAAAGGGAAAGAAAAAACAAAAAUAAAAAACACAAAUAUAUGUACAUAGAUAAGGUUUGAUUUACCUCAUUAUUUUUUAUUUUACUAUAAUUAUAGUUAUUAUUAUUUGUUUUUUGAGACAUGGUUUCUCUGUGUAGCCCUGCUGUCCAGAGUCUCACUCUGUAGACCAGGCUGGCCUCAAACUCACAGAGAUCUGCCUGCCUUUGCCUCCUGAGUGCUGGGAAUAAAGGUGUACACCCCCAAAGCCACCCCUAACCCCACACACAUACCCUGAUUCUUUUUAAAAAAAUUUAUUGUUCUGUUGAAACAGGGCCUCACUGUGUGGACCUGGCUGGUUGGGAGCUCACUAUGUAGACUGGGCUGGCCUAAUGGGGUUCCACUUGCUUUUACCCACUGAGUGCUUAAACUAAAGACAUUCACUAAUACACCCUGCUUGCUUGCUUGCUAGCUUGCUUUCUUUUUAAGACUUAGUUAUUUUAUGUAUAUAAGUACACUGUAUCUGUCUUUAGACACACCAGAAGAGGGCAUCACAUCUCAUUACAGAUGGUUGUGAGCCACCAUGUGGUUGCUGGGAUUUGAACUCAGGACCUCUGGAAGAGCAGUCAGUGCUCUUAACCGCUGAGCCAUCUCUCCAGCCCCACACCCUGCUUUCUAAAACUGCAUUUAUUUUAUGAGUGUGUAUCUGCAUGUAUAUAAGUGCACUAUGUGUGUGCUUGGUACUCACAGAGGCCAGAAGAGGGCACUGAGUCCUCUGUAACCAGACAGAUGCUAGCUGCCACGUGGGUGCUGGGGACCAAGCCUAGGUUCCCAUCCUCAACAGACUCAGCAGUGCUCUUAAGUGCUGAGUCAUUUCUCCAGAUCAUACGUCAUUAGUUAUAUACCUCUCUCUCCCCAGAUCAUAUGUCAUUAGUUAUAUACCCCUCUCUCCCCAGAUCAUACGUCAUUAGUUAUAUACCCCUCUCUCCCCAGAUCAUACGUCAUCAGUUAUAUACCUCUCUCCCCCAGAUCAUACGUCAUUAGUUAUAUACCUCUCUCUCCUCAGCUAGGCAAAUUUAGAAACUGUAUCCUCAGAUACAUUUACGUUUUCACUCACACUCCCUCUACCCGGGCUACCUGACCAUUGGAGGCAAGGUCUUACUAUAUAGCUCAGGCUAGCCUUGAACUCAUAGAGAUCAACUUGCCUCUGCCCGCCAAGUGCUGGGAUUAAUGGGUAAGCCAGUACACCACUCACACUUCAUGCUGUUUCUAUCCCUCUUCCUUUGUGUUGGUGAAUACUUUAUUAUUUUAUUUUUGAGAUGAGGUCUCCUGUAGCCCAGGCUGGCCUAGAGCUAUGUAUCGGAGGAUGCUGCUGAACUCCUGACUUCAUUGCCUUAACUUCCUGGUGCUAAGGUAACAGGUGUGUACCGUUUGGCCCAGUUUCUGUGAUGCAGGGGAUGGAAAUUAGAUUCCAUGCUAGGCAUGCGCUGUACAACUGAAUCACCCUCAUAAUUUAUGGGCAUGUGUGCUAAGAAUUUUUCUGAGUUUAAAAAAAAUUUUCGGGCUGGAGAGAUGGCUCAGCGGUUAAGAGCACCCGACUGCUCUUCCAGAGGUCAUGAGUUCAAUUCUCAGCAACCACAUGGUGGCUCACAACCAUCUGUAAAGAGAUCCGAUGCCCUCUGUAUCUGAAGACAGCUACAGUGUACUUAUAUAUAAUAAAUAAAAUAAAUCUUUAAAAAAAAAUUUUCUCUCUCUCUUGUGAAAUACGGUUUUUCUGUGUAGUCUUGGCUGUCCCGGAACUCACUCUGUAGAUCAGGCUGCCCUUGAGCUCACAGAUCUUCCUGCCUCUACCUCUGGAGUGGUGGGGUUAAAGGCCUGCAUCACCACUGCAUGGCAAUUUUCUGAUUUAAAAAAAAAAAGUUCUGGGCUGGAGAGAUGGCUCAGCGGUUAGGAGCACUGACUGCUCUUCCAGAGGUCCUGAGUUCAAAUACCAGCAACCACAUGGUGGCUCACAACCAUCUGUAAUGGCAUCUGAUGCCCUCUUCUAGUGUCUGAAAACAGAUACAGUGUACUCAUAUAAAUAAAAUAAAUAAAUAAAUAAAAAAAAGAAAAAACUCUAUAGCUCCUUCAUUCAACGGGACCCUCCCAACCUUUGCCUCGCCAAUGCUAAGAUUGUAGGACUAUGGAACUGUUCCCCAGCUCAAGAACUUUGUGUGUGUCACAGGGGAUGGAGACCAGAGUCUCACAACAUGCUAGGCAGUGCUCGACCCCAGCCUCUCAUUUUAAAAUUAGAUCUUUUUUUUUUUUUAAUUUAUUUUACUGUUUCAUGACUAGGUCACCCCUCCCCCACCUUUCUCCAACUCUGGGCUGGCCUGGCUUGGCAGUCACAGAGAUCUGCCUACCUUUGCCUGUCAAGGGAUUAAAGGUGUAAGCGCCCAAGCCUUUCAGGGUCUUACAUUUACCCCUCUUCUCAUUCUGACACAAUUCUACCCAUCUCAGGAAUAAUGCUGAGAGGGGGAAAAAAACGAGUAAGCAGGGAGAUCUCAAAGGGGAACUAAAUAUUAAACUGUAAUAUAAACUAGCUUGAUUCUAAUUUAAUAAGCAAACUAGCAUUUAAUAGAUAGAUAUAGAUAUAUAGAUAUAGCUGGGCAGUGGCGGCCCUUUAAUCCCAGCAGUUGGGAGGUAGAGGCAUUUCUCUGAGUUUGAGCCCAGUCUGGUCUACAGAGUGAGUUCCAGAAUGGACAAGGAUACACAGAGAAACCCUGUUUCUAAAACCAAAAUUAAAUUUUUUUUUAGAGACCGGGUUAAGCCUUCCCUCCUUUGCCAGUAUCCGAAACACUCAUGGCACACAAACACAUAAAUGAAAAAGAAAAAUUCUUUUCAGGUCAUGUUUGGUGGUGCACACCUCUAACUAAGCCCAGCAUCUGGAGGCAGAAACAGAUGCAUCUUUGUGUUUUGAGACCAGCCUGGUCGACACAGUGAGAUCCUGUCACAUAACAAAAUACAAUCUGAGACCAUAUUUUGUGCCUUAUAAUUCCAACCCUUAAGAAGGUGCGGCAGGAGAUCACAAGCACAAGACUAGUUUGGGCUACACAGCCAAGACCUUUAUAACAAAAAAACCUUAUAAUGAAUUCGAGGUGAGCCUGGUCUUAAGGUUCCAGGCCAGACAGAGCGACGUAGUUGAGACUCUGCCUCAAAGAUAAAAUAGCGUGCUAGCAUAUAAGAGCACUUGUUGCUGUUGCAGGGAUCCAACGCUCAUGGUGUACAUACAUACAAGGAGGCAAAACCCGCAUACACAUUCUAAGAAAAACUUAAUCCAUAAGUAACUAGCGAUAAAAGGUGCAUUUAAACAGACAAUAUUGAGUACUGUUAAAGUAAGGUGGGAAAUGGCAUCGGAUUUCUGUGUAUGUGGCUUAAACCAAUCUUGAGCUUUUAAAGCUUUGUACAAAUAAAAGAUAUGCAUUACACUGGUGUCCCAGCUCAAGACGGGGGAAGUGGGAAAGGGAGAAAGGAAAACCAGAAUGCCUUACUCUCAGUGCCCCGGGCAGGGCUGCAUACCAGAGACCCUGCUUCAAGAAAUAAAGUGCAGUUUCAUGGUGGCUAGCCCCAGCAAGUAGCCCGAAACCCCGCGAAAAACCCUCCGAGGCGGGGGGUGGGGGCGCAGCACCUAGAACGCAGGGUACAGUCACUUUCAGGUGCUCAGGGAUGCGGGAAAUAGGCACAGGGCCACACACUGACCUAGCUGAAGCCUGGGGCAGGACAGGAGCCACAGCAGCAGGACAGGGAACAGGGAACCCAUGCUGAGGAGCCAGAACUCAGGACGCAUGCGUCUUUUCCGGGCUUCCUCGCGCCUGCGUACUUGUUGCUAAAGCAUACAUUCAGUGACCAAUGGCAGGGUGCUCUUUGGGAGCUUGCCUGUCAGGACCGCCCAUGAAUGAAUUAAACACCGGCCCACACCCAUUUUGAUUUUUUAAAAAAUCUAUUCUGUUAACAAGCCUGUGCAGGCCCACGGUGCUACAGCCACAGCUGGUCAGAAGCCGCCCAGGGUGCUGGGAACUGAACGGCCUGUCUGCGUGAACUAGUACUUCUAGGUAGUUUAGCCAUCUCUCUCCUCAGAUGUCCUCUUUUUCAGUUGAACUAAUCGCAAAACCAGCUUUCAAGUCUUUCACUCACUGUGGAAUAUCGAGACACCCCACCCCUAACAUUAUCAAACAUAGAAACCAAGAGGUGAGAAAAAAACUGAUAGGUAAGAGGCACAGGGUUGGGGAUUUAGCUCAGUGGUAGAGCGCUUGCCUAGCAAGCGCAAGGCCCUGGGUUCAGUCCCCAGCUCCGAGGGGGGAAAAAAAAAAAAAAACCCACAAAGAAUAGUUUAAAAAAUCUUGUGUUCCACCCAACCCCUUAAUUCUUCAACCGUCUUUCUUGGCUGUUAUAUUUGUAACUUUCUGCCUCUUGUGUUCCCAUACUUUCUGGAGGGGUUGGGCCGCAGAAUUCUGAUCCUCCAGUGUCCUCGUAAUAAUUUGGCUUAGCUUCUGAAGCAGUUUUGCAGUUAUUUCAAGUGUGAAUGACCCAGUAGCUUCACUCUUAAGUAUUUAUUAGAGACACUAUGAAACCCAUAAAUUACCCAUAUGUGUUUUACACUGGCAAGAAUCUUACAUGUAUAACAGGGAGUUGGGUAGAUAACAUCAAAUACAUCCACAACAAAAUUAUUCUUUUGAGCCGGGGUCUCCUGUAGCCUGAGUUGGUGCAGAACUUCUGACUUUAUUUCCAAAGUGCUAGGCUUACAGGCAGGAAUCGCCAUGCCUUAUUUAGGAGAAAACCAUUAUAAAAUUUCAAAGAACACUUGAGGAACAAGGUAGACAACAAUGCUUAUUAUGUAAUUUUGUAUCACUGUAACGAAAACAUCUUGUUCAGUGGAUUUAAAAAGACCUGCUUUAAGUGUAUUCACUCAAUGCAAAAAAAAAUUAAAUAAAAUUUACAGUAUUAUAAUUUGAAUAGGUGCCAAAUGUCCUGUUCCUUUUCUCCAAUCAGGAAGAGAAAAUUCUUUUCCAAAUCACUUGAAGCUUGGACAACCCCCCCCCCCCCCAACAUUCUGUAGCAUCCCAG